rnacentral:rRNA from 1 species
UACGUAGGGGGCAAGCGUUGUCCGGAAUUAUUGGGCGUAAAGCGCGCGCAGGCGGUCUCUUAAGUCUGAUGUGAAAUCUCACAGCUUAACUGUGAGCGGUCAUUGGAAACUGAGGAACUUGAGUAUAGAAGAGAAGAGUGGAAUUCCAAGUGUAGCGGUGAAAUGCGUAGAUAUUUGGAGGAACACCAGUGGCGAAGGCGACUCUUUGGUCUAUUACUGACGCUGAGGUACGAAAGCAUGGGUAGCAAACAGGAUUAGA